AUUGCUGUCAUAAAAAUAUUUUUAAAACGUAUUAUUACAGCUAUUAGUAUUUCAACAGUGAUAUAAAAGUUCAAUUAUAAAUCUCACAGUUUCUUCAAAUACUUUUUGCACUGGUAUGUCUCUUGUUAUAAAUUUACUCAGAUGAGUAAUGUAUAAUCCACAAUUAGUACUCAAUCUUUCAUAACUUGGUCGAUGACUGGAUGUCGAGUACGCUUGAAUUAAAUUUCUCAGAUUUUUGUUACUUCUA